UUCAGUCAAUUAGGUGAAUCCUCCAUUGCCUCAAGUCACUCGGUACAGUGAGUUGUAAGUGGUUCACCGUGUCAAGGCCUCGACGCGGGUGGGCGGAGCUGUCGCUUGUGACAUAACGAGGUUAUGUGAUGCAAUGCCUAUCCAGUCUGUCUCCAGCUAUCAUAAACUACUCCUGAAUUCUACAUAUCGUUCACACAUCUAGAAAAUGUGGAGUUAGCUCGAAGUCGGGGUUCCCACAGCAUCUCACAGAUGCAUGGCGACAAGGGUCUGAGCGCUGAUUGGCUGGCUGGCGGAGGCCAUGGCAGCGCGAACAAAGCUCUUGUCCUUGAACGGUGUGUUCCGAAACAGAAUAAUUUACUCUUAAGUUGACACAUCCGCUCUCAGGUUGGUGUCAACUUCACAAUCGUGACUGAAUGACCCGGUGUUACGGCCCCCGGUCUGCGCCUGCCUAUGGUCACUGACAUCUCCUGAGUGGCGAACCCAACGACGUGAAGUGCAGGGACCCCCUCCGCUUUCCUCCCAUUCUAUCCCUUCUAUGUUUUAAUUGCAUCCAGUACACUCACAGCUUUUUCCUUUCCUUCUCUCUCUUUCUUCCUCACUAGCUCUCUCCCUCCCCUUACUCCUCAGUUCCUACCUCCCCUCAUUCAUCCUAGCCUCUCCAUCCCCCCUUUCCCUAGAACAGUCGUUGCAGAAGACGAUAAUACCUCCUUAACAUAUGGCGCAUAACCUCGGCAUCGAGGAAGACGAGAGACGAUGACAACACCGCACUGGGAACUCGGUUCGACGGUGCGAGGCUAUUUUGGAAGUGACUGGACAAGAGGGACCAGAGGAUCUGGAUGUUAGCCUCCGUCCUCAAGUUCCCACGCAGUGCGUGACACUGCGGCAUGAUGUGAGCAACAGCUAACCAGACACAGAUAGACAGACCCGGACGACAAAGCUGACUCGUGAAUGAAUGAAUAUCCCUCAGAGAGAAGGGAAAUGGAAGGCCUCCUCACCCCAGCCGACAAAAAUACAACCCCUCCAAAACUAUAGAGUAAUUAACGGACAAUGACGGAGGCAGACUAUGCAUGAUGUACAAUGCAGGAGGGACUGACUCACUUUGCGGUUAAGAGGGACCCCGUCCAUCUCUGCGGUCUGGUGCCUUUGAUCCCCCCAUCCCCCGGCCAGGUAGGACUGGACCUAAUGGACGGUCUGACGGCCGAUCCGUCUCAUUCCAAGUGGCGGCGCGAACGCUCGACACAACGAGUGGGAAGACGAGGGGGAUGAAGAAGGUUGGGAGGCUGACAGCGCUGUUCCGUACUGCCGUCCCCUGCACGUCCUGCCAGACAUCCUGCCAGACAUGGCCGACACCAAGUGGCGCGGCCUAACGAGGGCUGGUCGUAACUGGAGACAAGGGGAGGCAAUCCUCCGUUGUGAUCGUUACUGUUUAUCACGUCAAGCGUCGCGGCAUAUAUUUGCGAACUUUGAACCCUUCCGUUUCGGUUGAAGCUACAAAAUAAAUCUGCUGUUUGGCAUGA